rnacentral:rRNA from 1 species
AUUGAACGCUGGCGGCAGGCCUAACACAUGCAAGUCGAGCGGCAGCGGGAAGUAGCUUGCUACUUUGCCGGCGAGCGGCGGACGGGUGAGUAAUGUCUGGGAAACUGCCUGAUGGAGGGGGAUAACUACUGGAAACGGUAGCUAAUACCGCAUAAUGUCGCAAGACCAAAGAGGGGGACCUUCGGGCCUCUUGCCAUCAGAUGUGCCCAGAUGGGAUUAGCUAGUAGGUGGGGUAACGGCUCACCUAGGCGGCGAUCCCUAGCUGGUCUGAGAGGAUGACCAGCCAAACUGGAACUGAGACACGGUCCAGAGUCCUACGGGAGGCAGCAGUGGGGAAUAUUGCACAAUGGGCGCAAGCCUGAUGCAGCCAUGCCGCGUGUAUGAAGAAGGCCUUCGGGUUGUAAAGUACUUUCAGCGGGGAGGAGGGUGUUGAGGUUAAUAACCUCAGCAAUUGACGUUACCCGCAGAAGAAGCACCGGCUAACUCCGUGCCAGCCGCCGCGGUAACAC